rnacentral:rRNA from 1 species
GACGAACGCUGGCGGCGUGCCUAACACAUGCAAGUUGAGCGACGAACCAGGGCUUGCCCUGGGGCAAAGCAGCGAACGGGUGAGUAACACGUGGGUAACCUACCCCGAUAACCGGGACAACCCGAGGAAACUCGGGCUAAUACCGGAUGUGCUCACUGGACUUCGGUUCAGUGCGUAAAGGAAGCUUCGGCCUCCGUAUCGGGAGGGGCCCGCGGCCCAUUAGUUUGUUGGUGAGGUAACGGCUCACCAAGACCGCGAUGGGUAGCUGGUCUGAGAGGACGAUCAGCCACACUGGGACUGAGACACGGCCCAGACUCCUACGGGAGGCAGCAGUGGGGAAUCUUGCGCAAUGCGCGAAAGCGUGACGCAGCAACGCCGCGUGGGGGAAGAAGGCCUUCGGGUUGUAAACCCCUUUCAGGAGGGACGAAGGUUCGGCGGUGAAUAGCCGUCCGGACUGACGGCACCUCCACAGGAAGCCCCGGCUAACUACGUG